AUACGUAGGGGGCGAGCGUUGUCCGGAAUUACUGGGCGUAAAGGGCGCGUAGGCGGCGCUUCAAGUCGUCUGUCAAAUGGGAGGGCUUAACCCUUUUUCGCAGACGAAACUGGAGAGCUUGAGAAGCAGAGAGGCAAACAGAAUUCCUGGUGUAGCGGUGAAAUGCGUAGAUAUCAGGAAGAAUACCAGUGGCGAAGGCGGUUUGCUGGCUGCAUACUGACGCUGAAGCGCGAAAGCCAGGGGGGCAAACGGGAUUAGAUACCCCGGUAGUCCUGGCAGUAAACGAUGUAUGCUGGGUGUGAGACUAGCGAUAGUUUCGUGCCGAAGUUAACGCGAUAAGCAUACCGCCUGGGGAGUACGGUCGCAAGAUUGAAACUCAAAUGAAUUGGCGGGG
rnacentral:rRNA from 1 species